GUCUACAGCCAUGCCACCCUGAACACGCCCGAUCCUGUCUGAUCUAAGAAGCUAAGCAGGGUCAGGCCUGGUUAGUACUUGGGUGAGAGACCACCUACGAAGACUGCGUGCUGUAGGUG
rnacentral:rRNA from 1 species